GAUCCGGUUCUUUUCUCUCCACCAGAGAGCGCCAGGAUCCCCAGAGGUGCUGAUGCUGGGACUCGCCAGGAGUGAGCGCUUCUCCCGAGCAGCACAAACACCCGUGAGCCCCUCAGACAAAUGCCUGAGGACACUGAGACCAGCUGGCUUUGGGAAUGUGGGACUUCAGAAAGGACUUGGGUCACAGCGUGCUCUCCUCUGUAUCUCACACUCUGCUGCUGUUGUCACCAGACUUUCUCUGACCUCUUCUUGUGCCUCGUUGUCCUUUGUUCCUUCAGCCUGCAAGCCCCAGCAUGGUUUUUUCCUUCCAGCAGAAGCAUCCCUGGAUUUCAGUAAUCCCAGCAGGUUUUUGACACCAGUGGACUUCACUGGAGAGAUGCACGUGGCUGGAUGAGAGCCUGAACCCUCAACUAUCAGCUCAGGCUGCUGACUACAAUCAUGACACUGAAGAGCUGAAUCCAUCCCAGAUCCUGGACUGACAAAACAAAUAAAUUGUUAAGGGUUUAUCAAUUUAAAGGAAAUUUGUCAGCAGAAACUGACUUUCAAUGUACUCUUUCAACACGUGCAAAAUGGAAGGGAAAUAAAAGUUGUGUACGUUGCUUCAUUACA